rnacentral:rRNA from 1 species
GUUGCUUCUCCGCCGGUCGAGGACAAACCGACCCCUCGCGUCCGAGGUUAAACGACGUCCCAAGUGUUACCUCCUCGGAGGCACACGUUAAAGAUCGUUCCGGGUUGCGAGUCUUGACACCAACUGUAUGAUGUUUACAACCGGCGGCGUUGGAUCCCUUGGCACGUCAUUCGAUGAAGACCGUUGCAAAUUGCGAUAAAGUGAUGUGAUGCGCAAGUCCACCACUUAUACGUGAAUCAUCGAGUUGUUGAACGCACUGCACCGCGCCCUAAUCCGGCUGCGGUAUGCCCCUUUGAGCGUCAUUGUUACCCUUCGGGAGCCUUUCCUUGGGAAGGCCCGAGUUCGGAGUCCUCGGUCCUCGGAUCGUGUUCUCUCAGAUCCAUCAUGCCACCCGUCCAGUGGGUCCUCUAAUGCCUGAGCGUGGAGGGCUUCUGGGGUUUCGAGCGGCGUUCGACCGCGUGGAGAGCGCUGGUCGCCAAGUCCGUGCGGCCCAGCCGUCGGUGCUACAACUCAUGACCUCAUUGGGGUAGGACAACCCGCUAGACUUAAGCAUAUUAAUCAGCGGAGGAAAAGAAACUAACCAGGAUUCCCUCAGUAACUGCGAGUGAAGUGGGAUCAGCUCAAUGUGUGAAUCGGGCUUGGGGUACCUCCCGGAUCCGAGUUGUGCACUAUGGACGCUUUGUCUGCGUCUGUAACGGCGGUGGAAGUCCGGUGAAACACGGCACCUCAGAGGGUCACAGUCCUGUACCACCUGCCUGCACUCGCGCCAAUGACAAGCGCUCCUCGAGUCGCGUAGUUUUGUAAUGCUGCGCCAAGUGGGAGGUAGAGACCUUCUAAGGCUAAAUAUGAUGACGUGACCGAUAGCACACAAGUACCGCGAGGGAAAGGUGAAAAGCAACCAUGAAAAAUGGGUUGAAACAGCAGUGAAAGCGCCACCGGGAUAAGGGCUAUCGGGUGCUGGGGCUCGUUGGGUGUGCUUCAGUGCUACCCUUUGAGACGGCCCGCGCGGGUUGAUGUUGGGGCGAUAGAUGCGCCGCAGGAAUUCAGCUGUCUCCGGGCAGCGUUGUAGCCUACGGUUGCCGAUCCUCCUGCGACC